rfam:Penicillium decumbens strain IBT 11843 PENDEC_contig002, whole genome shotgun sequence.
UUAGCUCUCUUUGCCAAUUGGCUUAGAUCAAGUGUAGUAUCUGUUCUUUUCAGUUUAAUCUCUGAAAGAUGUCUAAGGACAUCACAUUGAUUAAUCCUAUUUUUGGACCGCGCGACUUGGCCUCUGUGCUUGCGCAUGCCUUGUCGCACAGUGUCAUCGGGCUUACACUACCCCCGAUUGACGCGAACCACC